AAUAUACUUCCUCCGUCCAAAAAUACUUGUCGGAGAAAUGAAUGUAUCUGGACGUAUUUUAGUUCUAGAUACAUUCAUUUUUAUCCAUUUCUCCGACAAGUAUUUUCCAGACGGAGGGAGUAUACU
rfam:Triticum aestivum genome assembly, contig: Triticum_aestivum_CS42_TGACv1_scaffold_471511_6AL